GCCGAUCCUCUCCCCGCGCGCGCCCGACGCCUCCGAGCCCUAACCGCCGCCAGCGGCGGUUUCCUCUUCCCCUCGCCACUGCCGUCGCCCUAGCCGUGGAGAUCCCGAGCACAGGCCGUCGACGACGAGAGCCACCCUUUCCUCUUUUCUCCUCUAUGGGCCGCCACAGCCCCCCCCCCCCCCCCCCCGAUCUGCUGACAUCCGAGCCCUAGGGUCGACCACUCUUUCUCUUCUUCGAGCGCCGACCACCAAGUCCUCAAAUCGCGCCGGCGCUACUGCUAUUUUGAGCCGCCACCUGAAGUCAGGCCGCUAGCGAUACCGGCCACACGCCCGAGCCCUAUCUCCGGUUCCUCACCGCAACACCGGUGCGUUGUGGCCCGACCAUGCCACGCCAUAUAGUGUAGCCGGAUCACCACGAGCACCAGCGACACUGCUUCUCCCUUAUCGGCCAGUUUAUCGCCGUCCCUUUUCCUUACCUUGUCUCCUUCUCAGAACAGUGUUGAUCUGGCAUUUUGAUCGACAGAUGCCACCACAGCGGACGGCCGAGCCUCUCUACCGACGCCACCGUGAACCCUAGUCCCGGCCGAUCAACUGACCCGAGACUUCUUCUUCCUCUCGAGUCACUCCGACCACAGGAGCACGCCGACUUUCCUCCCUUGUGCCUCUGCUGACCUUAGUGAGGAGGUGUAGGGUUCGGUGGAUUAGUGAGCACGAGGGUAGUAUUGUGCUGUGUGUUGUUUUUGGUUACCAGCAGCAAUAAUCCUUAUGUGGAUCAGUGAUCACGACUGUGAUUUUGAGGACCUUGACGCGAGACGAGUAUCUCGGAGUCGGAUUGGACCUUUCUAUUUUCGGAGGCGG